GGCAACAUGCUCAGGUCUCUUACCACGCUGUGGAAGCUUUGUUCUUUCGCUCUUUGCAAUGAAUCCUGCUGCUGCUCACUCUUUGGGUCCACACUGCCUUUAUGAGCUGUAACACUCACUGUGAAGGUCCGCAGCUUCCCUCCUGAGCCAGCGAGACCAGGAACCCACCAGAAGGAAGAAACUCAGAACACAUCCCAACAUCAGAAGGAACAAACUCCAGACGCGCCACCUUAAGAGCUGUAACACUCACCGCGAGGGUCUGCGGCUUCAUUCUUCAAGUCAGUGAGACCAAGAACCCACCAAUUCCGGACACACCAAGUCCUGAGUUCAGAAUUUUGUUUUUGAGAUGAACAUAAAAGCACCUAAAGGUCAAGGAAGAUGUUCUUCCUGUGAUAAGGAACACAAAGCCUGUUUGGUGGUCUCUUCACACGGAAGCGCAUGACACUUCGCUUUAGUGUAGAUGACCACUCCCCUCUGUAAGGUGUUUCCUGUGAUCUCUGGGAUCCUGAUCCGCACCACUCAACUUUGGCCUCCUAAACUUCAUCCUUGACCCCACCCCAGCUAUCAUAGUGUGAAAUUUCACAGCCAAAACUUCUGCAUCAGCUUCAUAAGGCAGGAAGCCUACAAAUUCCCCUCUUAUGUUUUGAGACUCAUCAACAAACCUCACCGAGACUCAUCAACAAAUCUCACCAACAUAGGACCUCUUGACCAGAAUUUAUCCAGCACUCCAGCACGGCUUGCACGUUAUCUGGAGUAAAGAGACCUUCUGGGAUUUCAUCAGCCUCCUGUCCAUCAAGAGAGCCACAGCUAAGAACCUAGAAGGGUAGAAGCAAAAGAUUUUUUUCCUCCUGUAUAAUCCCAAUCCACUACUUAGUUCUUCCAGUUUUUGACUGACUGAAUUUUCAGUGAACUGUGUGUCUAACUGAAGCUUUGAGAGAGAGAGAGAGAGAAAGAAGGAAAAAAAGAAAAGGUUUUACUUCACUUGAACUUGUUAAAAAGGAAGAGACACAGAUCCAGCAUAGUAGAAGGAGAAAGAAAGCAGACAACAGUUUGGAAUGGAGGCAUUGAGACGGAAGAGUCCAUUGGAGAUGGAAUGUACACACAAAAAUAACAAUUUAGGUCCUUUGCUCAUGCAACAUCUUGUUCUAAUGUCCUCUGCUCCAGGUCACAACAUUGAGCUACAAAGUGUGUGCAGUGACUCCAGUCUGCAUUCAUGCUACAAGAUGAUCCGUUUAGUAAGACUGAGCAAGGCUUGUUAACCUCUUGGACGUGAGAGAUUUCCCCUGAGAAAAUAUAUAAAACAAGAGAAAAGAAAGAAAAUCAAGUACGAUCACUGAAAACCUGCUUAGUAGUAGCAACUAUUUACUGUAGCUGAUUUUUGUGCAAGGUCAACACUGAACCCUUUAAGUCCAUCUUAGUUCAAACCUCAUGACCAACCUGCCUUCCCCCCUCCCUCCCUCCACUGACACGUCAAACAAAACUAUCCUCCCUCCCUCCACCCUCCUACCCCUCCCAAAUCCUUCCUCCCCACUGCAAACAGACUGAUGGUUUCACAGCACAGAUUAGCAAAUCAUAAAACAUAUCCAUAAAUGCUCCAUCAAGGCUUAGCAAUGAAGCAACACCUAGGUUCCCAACUGAUUAUAAACAUGUUACAACAAAUCUUAGUAAGCUGCUCUGAAAGAUAAUGUGAGUGCAUUCUUGUUCAAUGGCUGAAAUUAAUGUCACAUUUAUAAAUAUCUAGAAAUGUAGAGGAUACGAUUUAAUUAAAUAAAAUGCAGUUUUUGAGGGUGUGAUUCAUGAAACUCAAGAUUGAGUCUGUUCCCUAUCUUACAUAAUAAUGGAUAAAAAGGUGCCAAUUAUAUAUCUGAAGAUAAAAGUCUA
rnacentral:lncRNA from 1 species